CUACGGGAGGCUGCAGUGGGGAAUAUUGGACAAUGGGGGAAACUCUGAUGCAGCAACGCCGCGUGGAGGAUGACACUUUUCGGAGCGUAAACUCCUUUUAUAUAGGAAGAAGAUGACGGUACUAUAUGAAUAAGCGCCGGCUAACUCCGUGCCAGCAGCCGCGGUAAUACGGAGGGCGCAAGCGUUACUCGGAAUCACUGGGCGUAAAGAGCGUGUAGGCGGAUUAAAAAGUCAGAAGUGAAAUCCUAUAGCUUAACUAUAGAACUGCUUCUGAAACUCUUAAUCUAGAAUAUGGGAGAGGUAGAUGGAAUUUCUGGUGUAGGGGUAAAAUCCGUAGAGAUCAGAAGGAAUACCGAUUGCGAAGGCGAUCUACUAGAACAUUAUUAACGCUGAGACGCGAAAGCGUGGGGAGUAAACAGGAUUAGAUACCCCGGUAGUC
rnacentral:rRNA from 1 species